AUUGAACGCUGGCGGCAGGCCUAACACAUGCAAGUCGGGCGGUAACAGGGAUAGCUUGCUAUCUGCUGACGAGCGGCGGACGGGUGAGUAAUGCAUAGGAAUCUGCCUGAUAGUGGGGGAUAGCCCAGAGAAAUUUGGAUUAAUACCGCAUACGCCCUACGGGGGAAAGCAGGGGAUCUUCGGGCCUAGCGCUAUCAGAUGAGCCUAUGUCGGAUUAGCUUGUUGGUGAGGUAACGGCUCACCAAGGCGACGAUCCGUAGCUGGUCUGAGAGGAGAUCAGCCACAC
rnacentral:rRNA from 1 species